AAGUCGUAACAAGGUUUCCGUAGGUGAACCUGCGGAAGGAUCAUUAUCAACGUAUCCACGUUUAUAAACCAAAUUCGUGAAUUGUUUUUCAUUACCUUUGGGUUAUUGGCCGCUAUCAGUUGACACAUAUGGAGUUCAUUGUAUGGUUAUGGGCUCGUCCUGAUAAUUUAAGGCUGUCUCUCCAAAGUGUAGUUAAUCAUACGUUAAUUAUUUUUAUUAACCAAUUGAACCACUUUUAUUUUUAUACUUUGUUUGAACUGAUUUGUUUCUUUACUUGGCACUUGAGUGUGCUGAGAAGGAAAAUAAAUUACGAAACAAUAAAAGAACAACUCUUAGCAACGGAUAUCUUGGUUCUC
rnacentral:misc_RNA from 1 species